AGCUUUGCACAGUGACAGUAUCAUAGCCCAUGAGGUUAAACCGAGGUGUGAUUAUUGCUAGUUGGAAACUUUCCCCUUCAGUUUAUAUUUCAAAGUAACUGUUUGUGUGAACGCUCAGUUCAGC
rnacentral:snRNA from 1 species